UACGUAGGGUGCGAGCGUUGUCCGGAAUUAUUGGGCGUAAAGAGCUCGUAGGCGGUCUGUCGCGUCCGUUGUGAAAACUCGAGGCUCAACCUCGGGCUUGCAGUGGAUACGGGCAGACUAGAGUGCGGUAGGGGAGACUGGAAUUCCUGGUGUAGCGGUGGAAUGCGCAGAUAUCAGGAGGAACACCGAGUGGCGAAGGCAGGUCUC
rnacentral:rRNA from 1 species